rnacentral:rRNA from 1 species
UACGGAGGGUGCAAGCGUUGUCCGGAUUUAUUGGGUUUAAAGGGUGCGUAGGCGGAUUAUUAAGUCAGUGGUGAAAUUUUGCGGCUCAACCGUAAAACUGCCAUUGAUACUGGUAAUCUUGAGUACAGUUGAGGUGGUUGGAAUACGUAGUGUAGCGGUGAAAUGCAUAGAUAUUACGUAGAACACCAAUUGCGAAGGCAGAUCACUAAACUGUAACUGACGCUGAGGCACGAAAGCGUGGGGAGCGAACAGG